rfam:Camelus ferus unplaced genomic scaffold scaffold60782, whole genome shotgun sequence.
GAGGGUAUAGCUCAGUGGUAGAGCACAUGCUUAGCAUACACAAGGUCCAGGGUUCAAUCCCCAGUACCUCCU